rnacentral:sRNA from 1 species
CCCAGCGUUGAAACGCUGGGCUAUUUGCUGUCGUCCCUCCGGGACU